rnacentral:rRNA from 1 species
GACGAACGCUGGCGGCGUGCUUAACACAUGCAAGUCGAACGGAAAGGCCCUGCUUGCUGGGUACUCGAGUGGCGAACGGGUGAGUAACACGUGGGUGAUCUGCCCUGCACUUCGGGAUAAGCCUGGGAAACUGGGUCUAAUACCGGAUAGGAGCCAUCUUUAGUGUGAUGGUUGGAAAGUUUUUUCGGUGUAGGAUGAGCUCGCGGCCUAUCAGCUUGUUGGUGGGGUAAUGGCCUACCAAGGCGGCGACGGGUAGCCGGCCUGAGAGGGUGGACGGCCACAUUGGGACUGAGAUACGGCCCAGACUCCUACGGGAGGCAGCAGUGGGGAAUAUUGCACAAUGGGCGCAAGCCUGAUGCAGCGACGCCGCGUGGGGGAUGACGGCCUUCGGGUUGUAAACUCCUUUCGCUAGGGACGAAGCUUUUGUGACGGUACCUAGAUAAGAAGCACCGGCUAACUACGUG